UCCCGAUUGGCCACCGUGCUCACAGCCCACUGCAUUGUCACCUCUGACAGGUGCAGAGGGUGCACAGAGGCCACCACUCUGCCACACACGCUGGGAGAUGUAGUUUUUAGAAUAUUUAAACACCAGCAAAAACUACAGUUAUUAAAGGGAACAGUGCCUAAGGGACUGAGCUGAGCUUGUAAGAAGAGCAUGCCUGCUUGCUAAUGAUGACAGAGGUAGCAGAGUUCCAUCUAGGGCUGGAUACCAGGGCCAGUAAUGCCUGUAAUCUCAGCACUUUGGGAGACCAAAGUGGGAGGAUCACUUGAGCCCAGGAAUUCAAGCCCACCCUGGGCAACACAGCAAGACCCUGCCACUCUAUUAUUUUUUUAAAUAAAAAAUAAAUAAAUAAAAAUUU
rnacentral:lncRNA from 1 species